UCAACCUGUCUCAACGCUCUAGACUUUCUUCAACAAUUUUUUAAAAGAUUCUGGGGAAUCUUCCUUUGAUAAUACAGAUAUAUCAAAAUUUGUAAAUCUGUUUUUUAAGCUCAUUAACUUAAGCCUACUGAACUCUAUUACCAAACAGUAAUGGUAAUAAAAAGAAUUAAUGAUUGUAACUCAUCCUCGGAAACGGACACGCGAUGUAAACAGACCAGGGAAAAUCAACUUAGUACAGUUUUAUUUUAGCCUCAAACUCAAUAAAUUAAGGAAGAACAAGAAGAAGAUAUCAAUGCGAAAUGGCAGAGAAGAGUAUGCCACAAUUUUACAUAGGCCUAACUGUACAUGGUUUCUCUGGAACUGCAAGGACCAUCACAGACUCCAGACCAUAUAGAUAAAGUGCCAUAGCACUAUUGACAGUGAAGUAUUUGAAGUGGAAUUAGUAAUCCAGAUGAUCCAUCAAUGAAACUGUCACAUGGAACUGGGUUCCUGCAAAGUGUCACUAUUCAGAGUCUGGCUUCAAGACGUUUGAGGGCGACAAGUAAAGAUUUGGUCGUUCAAGACAGAUGGAACCACUCCACGGCGAACGUCUGGCUUCCUCUUACUGAGACGGACAAGUGUGCUUUCUCAGUUUCUUGAGAGAGUGGAAAUUCUUGAUGAGACAGCGGUGCCAGAGGACUUGGAAACUGGGAAGGAUGGUCUGACCCAGAUUUUUUUAUUCCACCCUCUUCCCCUACAUACAUUUUGAGCUUGCUUAGUGUUAUCCAUGUAGCUACCUCCUCCCUUCAGUGAUAAUUGGGAAAAAAGGCAGUGGAACUUCGAAUUGUGUAUAUUUAUACAAUGCAAAGGUGUUUAGCCAUAAAACAAAGCAUUGAAAA